ACAUGCAAGUCGAGCGAGAAACCACUUCGGUGGCGGAGAGCGGCGAACGGGUGAGUAACACGUAGGUUACGUGCCCUUUGGUGGGGGAUAGCCCAGGGAAACCUGGAUUAAUACCGCAUACGUCCUUCGGGAUGAAAGCCUUCGGGCGCCAGAGGAUCGGCCUGCGGCCCAUUAUUUAAUCCUGGAUGGUAAGGUAACGGCUUACCAUGGGUACGAUGGGUAGCUGGUCUGAGAGGAUGAUCAGCCACACUGGGACUGAGACACGGCCCAGACUCCUACGGGAGGCAGCAGUGGGGAAUAUUGGACAAUGGGCGAAAGCCUGAUCCAGUCAUGCCGCGUGUGUGAUGAAGGCCUUCGGGUUGUAAAGCACUGUCGGGAGGGAAGAAAGCUUCGGCUUGACGGUACCUCGCAAGAAAGCACCGGCUAACUCCGUGCCAGCAGCCGCGGUAAUACGGAGGGUGCAAGCGUUGCUCGGAAUUACUGGGCGUAAAGCGUACGCAGGCGGCCAAUUAAGUUGGAUGUGAAAGCCCUGGGCUCAACCCGGGAAUUGCAUUCAAAACUGGUUGGCUUGAGUGUGAGAGAGGGAAGUGGAAUUCCAGGUGUAGAGGUGAAAUUCGUUGAUAUCUGGAGGAACACCGGCGGCGAAGGCGGCUUCCUGGCUCACAACUGACGCUCAUGUACGAAAGCGUGGGUAGCAAACAGGAUUAGAUACCCUGGUAGUCCACGCCGUAAACGAUGUUUGCUAGGUGUUGGUGGAAUUUACCCCAUCAGUGCCGCAGUUAACGCA
rnacentral:rRNA from 1 species